rnacentral:lncRNA from 1 species
AAACCAAAACUACUUCCCUUAACUUCCCAAAACUACUCAAGACGCACAUAUUUUCCUCCAUGCCUUUUUCUUCUAAAAUGACAAUAAUCAGAGAAGACCUCCCCUUGAAAGAAACCCAGGGGCGACGUUUCUAGCUUCUUCUUCUCAUUUUCAGCAACCAACGCAACCAGAAAACGGCCAUCCCUUCCCCUUCUAAAAAAAAAAACCUAGCUGCUAUGAAAGAUCUCAGAAAUUAAGAAACAAAAAUUUCCGGAAAAAAAGAAAAGCAAGGGAAAUGGGAUAGAAAAAGGAUUUCUGUGUUUGCUCAAGUAUAUGGUCGAUUGCUUCAUUCUGGGUUCAUAGGCAUUCUUUUGGUAUUCAAAUGUGGUUGGAUUUGCUGUUUCUACUUCCGCUGGGCUCCGGCUUUUCCUUCACUUUUAUUUGGUUAUUCAAGUUUAUCUCUACUGCUGUUUAGAGGUAUUUAUCUCGAUGUGCUAUAAAUUUGCUGAAAUUGCAAUGAUAUGGUAUGCUGUCUGGUUAAAAUCUGAUUCUCUGUUUCUUUUAGUUUAGUUUAAUUAAAAGAAGAUUCCUUAAAUAAAAAGUUUAGAGCAGACAUAUUUGCAAAAAUUAGCCGGUUUCGUUUGUUUAAAACCAAAUCAUCACAAGUAUAUGAUUUUUUAUUUUUUUUUCUCUUUCGGAAUUAACCUAACCGUUUGUUUGGAAUAUACAUAUAAGAAGACCUAUAUAUAUAUUAAAUGGGGCACCCUCAGUGACAAAGCAGUGCAAGGUGCCACUGGCAAUGUGCAAAGAAUUCCUCCCAAGAGUUUGAAUCUCGCAUGGAACGUGUAUUUUGCUGUAGUUUUGCACUUUUUGGUUUGACAGAAAUACAUGUUUUUACUUCAUAUUUUCUUUUUUUUAGUAAUUAUUUUACUUCAUAUUUUUUUGUGUAUUUUGGCUUGAAACUACCGUGAAUAGUUCCUUUAAGAUGUUUCAGGUUUUGGAUCCGUUGUCAAUUGAAUUCAGGUGAUGGAGAACGGGCUACUGUGAUGUGAAGUCACUGGGCCAAGCCCAAUCUUAAAGGCUGUUAGAGCCUCUGAAAUGAAAUCCUACGGCUACGAGGGUUUAAAGGAAGGGAUUUUUACCUAUCUNN